rnacentral:tRNA from 1 species
GCCACCUUAGCUCAGUUGGUAGAGCAGCUGUUUCGUAAACAGCAGGUCUCCAGUUCAAGUCUGGAAGGUGGCUCCA